rnacentral:rRNA from 1 species
GACAAUAAAUCACAAUGCGGAACUAUUAGUUUUGCAAUUGGAUUGAGAACAAUGUACAAAUGUUAUCGAUAAACAAUUGGAGGGCAAGUCUGGUGCCAGCAGCCGCGGUAAUUCCAGCUCCAAUAGCGUAUAUUAACGUUGUUGCAGUUAAAAAGCUCGUAGUUGAAUUGAAGUGAACUUGGGUUGAUGUGAUCUUCGGAUGACAUGAAUCAAAGUUGACUCUUUCCAAAGUCAAUACAUUGGUAUUCAUUUAUCUUUGUAUUGUGUUUGGUCAUUUACUGUGAGAAAAUUAGAGUGUUCAAAGCAGACGUUUGUUUGAAUACAUUAGCAUGGAAUAAUCAUAUAUGGCUUUCAUGUUGAUUUGAUUGGUUUGAAUAUGGAAGCAAGAUUAAAAGGGACAGUUGGGGGUAUUCAUAUUCAAUAGUCAGAGGUGAAAUUCUGGGAUUUAUGGAAGAUGAACAAGUGCGAAAGCA